GACGAACGCUGGCGGCGUGCUUAACACAUGCAAGUCGAACGAAGUGGCGAACGGGUGAGUAACGCGUAAUCAACCUGCCCUUCAGAGGGGGACAACAGGUGGAAACGACUGCUAAUACCCCAUACUGAAGGAGGGGCUUGCGUCUGAUUAGCUGGUUGGAGGGGUAACGGCCCACCAAGGCGAUGAUCAGUAGCCGGUCUGGGAGGAUGAACUGCCACAAUGGGACUUGGACACGGCCCAGACUCCUACGGGGGGCAGGAGGGGGGAAACGUCCGCAAUGGAAGAAAGUCUGACGGAGCAACGCCGCGGGAGGGAUGACGGCCUUCGGGUUGGAAAGCUCUGUUAAUCGGGACGCGGUACCGGAAUAGAAAGCCACGGCUAACUACGUGCCAGCAGCCGCGGUAAUUC
rnacentral:rRNA from 1 species